rnacentral:rRNA from 1 species
CCGGCACGAGCGCACCCACAUCCUUAGUUGCCAGCAGGUUAAGCUGGGCACUCUAGGGAAACUGCCCGUGAUAAGCGGGAGGAAGGUGUGGAUGACGUCAAGUCCUCAUGGCCCUUACGGGUUGGGCUACACACGUGCUACAAUGGCAGUGACAAUGGGUUAAUCCCAAAAAACUGUCUCAGUUCGGAUUGGGGUCUGCAACUCGACCCCAUGAAGUCGGAAUCGCUAGUAAUCGCGUAACAGCAUGACGCGGUGAAUACGUUCCCGGGCCUU